CCAGUCCGCAGUAGUACUCGGUCCAUCUAGUCUUCAUUCAUCUCUCAAAGGGUGGGAACAGAAUACAGAACGAUGACAAGAAUGCAUCUGCAAGAAUCCUGUUUCAGUACCACGGACAGAGGCCUCCCCAGGGAAGAAGUGUUGGGAGAUGUCUGCGUUGUUUAAGCCCAGGAAAGAACCUGGUGUCUUCUGGCUACUGGUGUCAAGACAUGUGGGGAACCCAGGUCAUGACAGGUUAUGACAGCCAUUCAGACACGACCCUGGCUGUGCUCCAAGAAUCACCUUGCUGUACAUGGAAAGAAGUUCCUGCUUCUUCGGUGGCUCUGGCAGCAGCUACAGGGACCAGCCGCAGCUGCCCAGGAGGUGGAUGGCACUGGCAGUAGUGUCCCCAGUGAUGGAUUACACCAGCAGCAGCGGCAUAGCACAAGCCUGACCAGAGUCAGCCGGACGUGCAGUCCUGAGCCCGUGGCACCACCUCCUGCUGUUU
rnacentral:lncRNA from 1 species